UUGUCUUCCAUAUUGAUGAACCACGAUUCUCCCCAUUGUCUUCCCCAAGCUUUAUAGUUCUCUCACAACGCCAUUGUCUCUCUCAAUUUUCAACUUUGUUUUCUCCAUAAAGUUGUGGGUUUCUGCGGAAUACUUAAAAUUUUCUCUUCAAUGGCUGAUUCAACAAUUCGGAAAAGGAUUACCCGAGGUUCAUCAGCAACCAUUGAAGCUGAAAGGAAAACAAAAAUAUGCAAUGACCCUAUGAAACAAGGUCAAGAUGAGAAAUCAUCGAAAAAAUCAACACUUCCUGAUGUGGAAAAGAGAAGAAAACUUAUGGAUGAUGCUUCUGGGAGCUAGGGAAGAGAGGUCGGAAAUACAGAAUGACAAGGGAUUGUGGUUUGUAUAUCGCAGCAUAUGCAGAGUAUUUGAGCACUUAUGGAUUGGUUCCACAAACAACCUUUGAUGCUAAUUAAUUUACUCCGUCAAAGAUAUGGUUCCCUCCUUUGGGACUAUGCUAUGCGGAAAGUUAGACGUCGAUGUGAUAAGCGACAAUGAAGCACAUGCAAAGAUUAUUAGGCAAAUCACAUAAUCGAAUACUUCUGUGAAGAAAGUUUUAGAAUAGUUUUCUGUUAUACGGAUUGUAUUUUCAGCUUAUUACUGAAUUGAUCAUGGUUUUACGCAACUUUUUAAAUUUUGAAUACA